rnacentral:lncRNA from 1 species
GUAAGCCUCCCAACCUGUGGGAAGGUUACCAAGUGUUUCUCAGUGCUUGAAAGCAUGAGAUUAUUUGUAACUUAAAGCCUGUAGGCAAGAGUGGUUAUGUUCUUGAACGAAGCUGUGAAGCAAGUUCAAGUUGUUUAAACAUUACAUGGUACUUGUAAUGAUAGGAAUGGAAACUGGAGGUUUCUAUCUAGGAGUGCCUAGGUGUAGAUUGCAUUGGGUAGGGAUUAAGUGAGGAGUUGUAAACGGGGGAGUUUAACUCUGAAUUAAUACUGCUAAUAAUGGAUCUUCUUCCUGGCUUGGUAUGCCCCCAGAGUAGGUAAUGUUGUACCGAACUGGGUUAACAAUUACUGGUGUUUUUACCUUCUGCACACUAUAUU